CCACCGGACGGUCCUGGGUUCUAUAAGAAAGCAGCUGAGCAAGCCAUGGGGAGCAAGCCAGUCAGCAGUGCCCUCCAUGGCCUCUGCAUCAGCUCCUGCCUCCAGGACCCUGUCUGACUCUGAAUGAUGGAGUGUGACUGAGACAUGUUCGCUGAAAUGAAACUAAAGUUACUUAGCCAUCAUGGCAUUUUAGCAUAGCUAUGGAGACCCUAACUAAGACAUACCUGCUCCCAGCCCACUCUGUCCUGGUCACUGACUCCCCAGGGUCUCUCCCACGCUCUCACUGGUGGGUGGUGGGUCUGCCCCAGAUGGACGUGUCACACAGCUAUCCCUGUGGAGGUCGGGGAGGGUUAGCAUCACAGAUGUCCAGAUGGGGGCAUUGCAAAAGCUGACCUGAGACCUUACUCUAUGAAUCUCAUUCAGGGUGACUGCGCCGUGUGCCUGAGGAUGCUCAGACAUGCCUGGAGACGUCUGUGGGUGUCACUCUGGAGGAGAGGGGACUGGGACUUGUCCCAGGACAUUGUGAACACCGUUACACACAAAGGGGUCUGAGUGCAGAUCCACAGCAUCCAUAUGAAAUGCCAUGCGUAGCCGUACAUAGCUGAAACCCCUGUGCUGGGAGCUGGAGACAAGAGCGUCCCCAGGGCUCACUGUCCAGUCAGUCUGGCUGAGUUGGCAGCUGCAUGGUCAGUGAGAGACUCUGCUCCAAAACACAUGUUGGAGAGCAGCCGCAGAUGACUGCCUAUGCUCUCUGUGUAUAUGCAAGAGUGGUCAGUCAGCUGCUGGCUUUGCCAUGGGGUGAAUUCCAGGCAGAUGGACAGGCCAGGCAGAGAUGGCAUGAGCGAGGGGACAGGCUGCCAGGCACACUAGGCCAAGGUUUUGGGGCAGGAAAGUAGAGGAGGGUCAGAGGUCAGGCCAGUGUCCACCUUCAGGGAGGAAGCACACAGGACUGUGGAGCGCUGGGUGCUCCGCUGGGAGCGACGGCGUCAUCACUACCUGGGAGGUAGAGGCAGGACAAUGAGGACUUCAAGUGUCCCUCCUCUACAUGGAGUUGGAGGCGAUCCUGGGUUCCUGGAGACCAUUGGCAACGACAACAAAGCGUUGAGUGGGGGUGACCGGGAGCCUCAGCCUCGUGGGUGGCCCCGUGCGUCUCCCCAGCCUGGGUGCAGAGCUGAGGCUGUGGGAGACGCUCUGUUUACGUUUCCAUCUCCUGGUAGGCUCCACCCCUCUCUGCGGCUGGCAUGUUGGAAGUAGGCAGAAGACAGGAGGCCAAUGUCCCCGCAGGCCUGGGUGGGCCUGGGGACACACACCUGCCUGGGCUAGGGAGCCUCAGAGAGGACAGUUUUGGAUUCCCAGGCCAACUCUGAGGUUCUGUGAUCUGACCACAUUGGGGAAACUGAGGCCAGGAGCAUUCACUAAGGGGUUUCCACAGCAUGUGGGGGUUCUGGCCUCUCGGUCACCACUGGGGAGUGGAAAUCCAUUUCCUUCCUCCUCGUGUCUCAAGGAACUGGGGGUCUGGACAGAGCUCGGGGCAGGGAUGUGGCCCCAAUCCCUCACCCACAGGGAACACCCAGAGGCUGGGGCAGCAGUAUGUCCUACGGGGCACCAGGGAGGUCUUCCUGAGUUGUUGUGGGUGAAGAGGGGAAUGCCCUUGGGAGCCCCCACUCUGGGGCAGAGGUACAUCUGUCUUCAGCCCCCUGGUCACUGAGAAAGCUGGGCAGGGGAAGACACCUGUGAGCCGCGAAGCCAGGUGUCUGCAGAUGUCAGGCUCAUGGCAAGCUGCGGUCAAACGUCCUUGCCCUUUGCUGGGCAGCAAUGCUCUCCAGAGAGACAGUAUAUCCUGCAUAGUCUCCUUAAGCUGGAAGGUGAACAAAACAGCUUUAGGAAGUCCCUGAAACCAACCGUUUCACUGGGCUCCCCCAGCCAGAGUGAGCAAUAAAAGCUGAGGGUCCUGUCCAGAAAUUGAGCUGCCUGGAAGAGGCUUCGGUCCGUUAAGGUGCCUGGAAGGGAGCUCUCCAGCCUGUUGCUCCAGCACAGCACUCCAGGCUGUGCUGUGCCCUCCAGGUUCCCAACUCUGUGAGCUGUCACCUGUGCUGGGGUGGGCCUUGGUGACACAGCUGUCUCCCCUCACCCAUGUGCCUGUCAGUGACUCCAGUAAAGCUUAUGGUUCACCACGCAGGACUUUGGUGGUGUGCUGUGGGGUCCCUACUCAGGUAAGUAGCCGGGUGUGUUACAUGUCCCCAGGAAGGUCUUCCAUGUCACACACCAUCGGCACCCGAAGAGGACCAUGCCCAAACCGAAGGUCACCUGGGGACAGGCGGGUGCAUGGUCCAGGCUGUGGGUGGCAGGGCAUGCUACUGAGGCCAACCAGCUUGGGAGGCAGACCUUGUGGGGGAGACGCCGGCAGGCUCUUCUUUCCUGGGCGCCUUGUGCUGUGGUGGCAGCUGCGUGUUUCUUAUUGCAGGUAGCGAGGUGUGGAAUGACCCUGAACCAUCAGGAUCUAGAGUGUCAGAGGGGACCCCGUCACGACAGUCCCUCUGUGUGGUGUGAGGUGGCAUGCCUGCAUCAUGAGUGUGGUCCUCCACAGGAAUACAGACAUGCCCUGAAGACACCUAAAGGGAGGCUCCUUAAACAGCAAGGUGAACAAAACAGCUACAGGAAGUUCCUGAAACAAACAGGUUUCAUUAGGCUCCUCCCCACCAGAGUGAGCAAUAAAAUCUGAGGAAACUGAGCUGCCUGGAAGAGGCUCGGGUCAACUGAGGCGCCUGGAAGGGAGCUCUCCAGCCUGUUGUGUGGCCUGCAGGCUGUGCAGUGCCUCCAGAUUCCCAACUCUGUGGUGUCACCCGUGCUGGGGUGGGCCUUGGUGACACAGCUGUCUCCCCUCACCCACGUGCCUGUCAGUGACCCCAGUAAAGCUCAUGGUUCACCGA